AGUCGCUUCGUGAGGGACCGGAGAGAGGAGUGGGUACCGAAAGGUGACAGUAAUUUGCUAGUCAUGGCCCUUCAUCUUGUCCUACAUCCCAAGCUCCCGGCAAGCCCCUAAAUUACAGUCGCCGCCAUUGCCUCUGCUCCCUGCGGCGGACUGCCGACGGCGUUUGCCUGCCUCCUUUCUGUGUGGGAAGGCGCCGCCGGAGAGAACGCACCUAAGAAAACUGCCUUGGAUUCAAGCAGAACAGGUUUGCCAGAUCUGCUGCAGGGCUUGUCGCCAGUGGAAACAGAGAAAGGAGGAAACAAUCCCUUGGCAAGAGCGCAGAUCUCCCCUAGCCUAGAAUACCAGCUGUGAGCACUUCUCUCAGUGGAGAUCUUCAUAGUGCAAUCGGACCAAAUCCUCUGGAAACAUUCUGUAUCUCAAAUGCCCCGUGGAGUACACUCUUACCCAGACCAACAGCAACCAUCACUAGCUGAAGAGUUGUUGGGUGCCACUAUAUAGUUCUGACUGACUCAGUGAGUUUGCUGUGAGUCUAUGUCUCCUAGGAAUGUCAGAAGCUACUCCCAUAAAGUCUCAUCAACAUGACAACCUAAACAUGAACUAAGCAAAGACAACAGUAAAUAUGCUAACAUGGGCAGGAGAAAGCCCAAGAGGCGACAGCCAUAUAUAAGGAACUAUAGGCAACAGAGGAUGCUGAGAGUGGGAGAAACAGUCUACACCAAGGAAGAACACACUGAUUGUUUAUCCUAUACCCAUUGUCAACCCAAUGGAAACAUCAUGCAAGUGUCUUUAUGUAGACUACACAGGUUGUAUUUAAAUAUUUAUAAAUAUAUAUCAUUUGUCAUAAAGCAUGUGAAAUACCUAUGAAGGAGUACAGUAUCACUUGAAAUGGGAUAUGAUAUUCAUAUACAUGUUUAUAUGUAAUAACAGUUAAUGGAAAAAGGAGACCAUGAAUUUAAAAUAGAGCAAGGAAGUAUGUACUACAGAGUUUGGAUGGAGGAAAGGAAGGGGGAAAAUGAUGCAUUAAUGAAAUAUAGAAAAAGGAAAUAAUAUGAAAAACCAAUGGGUCUAAGAGCUGGUUCUUUGAAAAGAUAACAAGACUGAUAGAACCUUGGGCCACUAACCAAAAGAGAGGAACUGAAUUAACAGAAUCAGAAAUGAACAGGAAAACAUUAUACAGACACCAAAUAAACUCAGAAUAUUAUAAGGAAAUGCUUUAAAAAAAAACCAUUGUAUUCCAUGAAAUUGAAAAACCUAAAGGAAAUGGAUAAAUUCUAGAUUCAGAAAAGCCACUGAAAUUAAACCAAAAAUAAGUCAACAACCUAUACAGACCCUAGCAAAUGAGAAGAUUGGAAAAGUAAUAAAAAGUCUGCUAGGAAAAAAGUAGAGGUCCAGACUUAGAUGGGUUUGUAUGAGAAUUUAUCUACCAGACAUUUCUAAAGAUCUUUACCUAGUAGUAAAUUACUCAAAAUGAUAGAAGCAGAAGGAGCAGAGCACUCUAUACCCAAACAAGGGUAAAGACAUAACAAAAAAGAAAACACUGACCACUUUCCCUGUUGAACACAAGUUUUAAAUGCAGCAGCCAGAAGAGAGCACUGGGUGUCCUCCUCUUAUUGGUCUUGAUAAGAAGCUUGAUUUAAAAAAAAACAAACAAACAAACCUUGAGCUCAAGUUUUCUCACCUAGGAUUUCCAUGUUUUUAAGGGUUUUCUGUGUGUGCGAGGAUCUAAGUUCUUGUCCUGAUUGUAGAACAAGCACUGUUAACUCACCAGUCCCUAAAGUAGGUUCUAGUAAACAACAUAGUUCCAUCUUCGUUUGUUUUCAUGUAUGCUGAAAUAAUCUAACUUUUAAUUAGAGUAUUCAGAACUUUCACAUGUAAAAUGGGAUCUGGAGAAAUGGCUCAGUAGUUAAUAUACUGCUUCCUGUAGAGGACUUGAGUUUGGUUUGCAGCACCCACAUCAGGUGGCCCACAGCCCCCUGUAACUCCUGCUCUAGGGAUCAAAACUCUUCUUCUAACCUGCUGGACACUUGUCCUCAUGUGCAGAUACCCACAUACACAAAUACACACGAUUAAAAAUUUUAAAUCUAUAGAAUUAAUAUUGAGAUGUUUGGAUUAGUACUUGUCUCAUUUGUUAUUUACGGAUGCUUCCAUGAUUUUACUUUCAUGGUUUUUCUCUUCCUUUGUGCCUUUUCUGUUUUUAGUUUAGCAUUUACAAUAUUCCAUGUACUAUUUUAGCAUCUUAAUUAUACUUUUAUGGAAUUUGUAUGGUUAUUCUAAAAUUUGUUAUUAAAUAUUUUAUAUCUCAUUUAAA
rnacentral:lncRNA from 1 species